rnacentral:tRNA from 15 species
GUCACUAUGUCCGAGUGGUUAAGGAGUUAGACUUCAAAUCUAAUGGGCUUUGCCCGCGCAGGUUCAAAUCCUGCUGGUGACG